UCUUAUUUUUUUAUUUUUAUUAUAUUCCAGCUUAGUCUCAAAUAUACCAAAUACAAGGAAUAUAUAGCAUUCAGUUUAGUAAAGUUCUCAAAAAUAAAAAGACACAAAUUAUUAUGAAAAGUCCCCAACUCCCAUCAACUGGGCUGCAUUUAGCAUAAAAUUCAUGCAAGCCCCAAUAGACAGCUCUCUUUCUCUCUCACUCACUCCAUCCUCGUUUGUGUGUGUGUGUGUGUGUGUGUGCGUGCGUGCGAGUGAUUUUAGAUUGUAAAUCGAAACAGAACCAUUGAGAAACUGAAAGUGUACUUAAAUAGCUAUUAAAUGUUGUGCUGUGUCUUAAAUUAGAUGAGGAACUUGAAUCUUAAAUUAUAAUCUCUGAAAUUCGUAACUCUAAUCAAACCUGGCCAAUUCAACUUACCAAUUAUUAUAUAUAUGUAUAUAUAGCUCUAUGUAAACACACUGUUACACACACAUAAACAGUCAUACACAAUAAUACACUGAUGUGUUCCUAACUACAGUUCCAUCUAGAGCUAGUAUACAAAUAAUUUAGUUGUGCAGUCCCCUAAUUGUAAGCUAGUUACUGUCCUUAGCACGCCUCUACAGUAACAAUGUAUAGGUGUGUGUGUCUUUGUGUGUGUAUGAAUAUGUGUGUACAACUUAACUGCUUUUGCAUACAAAACGAAACGUUUUUGAAUGAGAUAUGUUAAUUACGUAUGGCAUAGACUUUAACUUAAUAUGAAGCGGGCUGUGCAUUAACAAUGGGUCGGAGGUGAAUAAAAACAGGUGCGAAAGUUAUCAUAGAUUUUUAAUAGGUAAUGUGUACGAUAUGCAGAU